rnacentral:misc_RNA from 1 species
AACGCACAUGGCGCCUUCCAGUAUCCUGGGAGGCAUGCCUGUCCGAGCGUCGUUUCAACCCUCGAGCCCCCGUGGCCCGGCGUUGGGGAUCUGCCACGGCAGGCCCCUAAAACCAGUGGCGGACCCGAAGGGCCCUCUCCUUUGCGCAGUAGCAUUCGCCUCGCAUUGGGAGUCCUCGGCGUCCUGCCUCUAAACCCCCCACAAGUCCGCUUCGGCGGCACCAAGGUUGACCUCGGAUCAGGUAGGAAUACCCGCUGAACUUAA